rnacentral:lncRNA from 1 species
UAUACAUACACACACUCAAUACAAUAGUAAUUCACAAUAUAAUUCAUAUCACACAUAGAGCAUAAAUUAUAAUACAAUGUGAUACAAAACCAUAAGCAAAGCAAUCACACAAUUUGCCUCAAUCUAUCUUAUUCCACUUCCACGUCAUAUGGUAAACAUUUGUCCAAUUAUAUUAUGUCGAGAAAUAACUAAACAAAAAUGGAAUAACUCAUAGAUACUUAUCUCUAUAUCAUAUUCCUCUUUGUUAGCUUCCUAACACAUCCAUUCUCGUAUCAAUUGGAGUUCCUGUUCCCGUUUUAUGAUGGAAAUAGGGAAACAACUCAUAAACAUACAAAAUAAUGUAAUACUAACAACUAAGUUAUAAUUUAAUUAUAAACAUGAUUUUAUCUCACCAAGCAAUAAAGCAUUGAACUAGCUUUCCAACGCAUCUGAUCAGGCCUCAUUCCGAGUUACGAUACUCAUUUUAGAGUGAAAACAGGGGAGCUGGUCGAUUGCUGUCAUGGCCCAAUCGAUGUGAUUGAGGUUCUGUCAGAUUUUUCACUAAAUUUUAAUGGACCAAUCGAUUGGGGUCCAAGAUCAAUCGAUUGUUACUGGGGAAAAAUAAAAUUUUCUUCCUUUAAAGACAAACCAAUCGAUUGUUUGACAGAAGUUUCCAGAACCAAUUGAUUGGUUCAUCACUUUUCUUCACAAAUACAUGUUCUAAACACUUUAUUUCCCAAUUUUAAUCACACUAAUCCAUUCUAAAAUAUAUGCUAUGAUAAACUCACACAAAUCAAGAGAUUGUGAGGUACAAUUUCAUAGAACAACACAUAUGGACAAACAUGGAAUCUAAGACAACAACAACAUAUGAACAAGAGCAUCAUGUUAUGAUCAACAAUAACAUGAUUCACAAAACCAUGACUAGAUCUUUGAAACCCUAAGAGUUUCUAAAUCCCCCCAAAGUUCUAACUAAGAACUCACAAAAGAAUAUAAAAUUGAGAUGUAAUUGUUGAUGAUGAUAUGGUGGAGAUGAAGAUUCAUGGCUUUCUUCUUUCUCCAAGCUCGUCUUCCUUUCUUUUUUCUUGUCUUCUUUCCUUCAUUUCUUUUCCUUCUCUUUUUCAUUUUCCUGAUAACCCUCUUUCUCUCUUCUUCUGUUCUUAUCCUCUUUUCUUACCAACUUCUCCUCUUUUCUUUUUCUUCUUAUUCUCAUCCACUCAUUCUUCUUUCUU